rnacentral:rRNA from 1 species
GGCGAACGGGUGCGUAACACGUGGGCAAUCUGCCGAGAAGUGGGGGAUAGCUCGCCGAAAGGCGAAUUAAUACCGCAUAUGAUCAGUGAAGACAUCUUCACGACAUCAAAGCCGGGGCAACCUGGCGCUACUCGAUGAGCCCGCGGCCUAUCAGCUAGUUGGUGAGGUAACGGCUCACCAAGGCUUUGACGGGUAGCUGGUCUGAGAGGACGACCAGUCACACUGGAACUGAGACACGGUCCAGACACCUACGGGUGGCAGCAGUCGAGAAUUUUUCUCAAUGGGGGCAACCCUGAAGGAGCGACGCCGCGUGGAGGAUGAAGGCUUUCGGGUUGUAAACUCCUGUCAUUUGGGAACAAGGUGCAUCGAUUAACUGUCGAUGCAUUGAUAGUACCAGAAGAGGAAGAGACGGCUAACUCUGUGCCAGCAGCCGCGGUAAUACAGAGGUCUCAAGCGUUGUUCGGAUUCAUUGGGCGUAAAGGGUGCGUAGGUGGCGCCGUAAGUCAGGUGUGAAAUUUCGGAGCUUAACUCCGAAACUGCAUUUGAUACUGCGGUGCUUGAGGACUGGAGAGGAGACUGGAAUUCACGGUGUAGCAGUGAAAUGCGUAGAUAUCGUGAGGAAGACCAGUGGCGAAGGCGGGUCUCUGGACAGUUCCUGACACUGAGCACGAAGGCCAGGGGAGCAAACGGGAUUAGAUACCCCGGUAGUC